GACGAACGCUGGCGGCGUGCUUAACACAUGCAAGUCGAACGGUGAAGCGCUUGCCUUUUUGGUGGGUGUGGAUGAGUGGCGAACGGGUGAGUAACACGUGAGUAACCUGCCCUCUUCUUCUGGAUAACCUCAUGAAAGUGGGGCUAAUACGGGGUAUUCCGGGUCUGUCGCAUGGCGGGUUUGGGAAAGAUUGCGCCUUUGGGUGUUUUCGGUGGGGGAUGGGCUCGCGGCCUAUCAGCUUGUUGGUGGGGUGAUGGCCUACCAAGGCGGUGACGGGUAGCCGGCCUGAGAGGGUGCAAGGCCACACUGGGACUGAGACACGGCCCAGACUCCUGCGGGACGCAGCAGUGGGGAAUAUUGCACAAUGGGCGCAAGCCUGAUGCAGCGACGCCGCGUGAGGGAUGGAGGCCUUCGGGUUGUGAACCUCUUUCGCCAGUGAAGCAGGCCUGCUCCUGUGUGGGUGGGUUGACGGUAGCUGGAUAAGAAGCGCCGGCUAACUACGUG
rnacentral:rRNA from 1 species